AUACGUAGGGAGCGAGCGUUGUCCGGAAUUACUGGGUGUAAAGGGAGCGUAGGCGGGAGUGCAAGUCAGAUGUGAAAUACAUGGGCUCGACCCAUGGGCUGCAUUUGAAACUGCAUUUCUUGAGUGAAGUAGAGGUAAGCGGAAUUCCUGGUGUAGCGGUGAAAUGCGUAGAUAUCAGGAGGAACACCGGUGGCGAAGGCGGCUUACUGGGCUUUUACUGACGCUGAGGCACGAAAGCGUGGGGAGCAAACAGGAUUAGAUACCCUGGUAGUCCACGCUGUAAACGAUGAAUACUAGGUGUGGGGGGACUGACCCCCUCCGUGCCGCAGUUAACACAAUAAGUAUUCCACCUGGGGAGUACGAUCGCAAGAUUGAAACUCAAAUGAAUUGGCGGGG
rnacentral:rRNA from 1 species